UAAUCGCAUUUAACUUAUUUUACUUUUACCUCCAAGUAAUCGUAGGUUUUAUCACUUGCAGUUUGUCCCAUAAACGAACCUAAAAACUAGCUUGUUCUCUUUCUUAUUUAUUCUUAUAGGAGCACUGGAAACUAGUCCAUAACUUGUUCUCAACCUGCGCUGCGGCGGCCAACUCGGUGUCAGGAAGCCUCUACGCCAUCGAGCUGGGCACCUCAGAGUUCGUACAGCUGACAAGCUCGAGCACUCAAAUCAUCACGUGGGUUGUCAAGAGCGGCGUCAAAUCUACCAUCGAUUGCGCCCAGGCUACUUUGGAUGCAGGCAAAGCCAUGUUCAAAUACAGCGGCGGCACCUGCAGGAUAGCCGCUGAUGGAGUCUACGACCCAAGCAAGCCCUCGUGUACUGGAGAGACGGUCCUACGUUCUAAGCUCUGGUGGUACGACGGCGUGCUUCACCUCUCGAUCUAGGCGCGUUCUUGGACGGUGCAAGGAUAACAACCGACGGAAGUUGCACCUCAAGCUGUGCUUCAGGGAACGUAGAGAGCGGAGCUGGGACUCAGCUAACAGGUCUUCCGGAGAAAACGCUACAGUGUUGCCCAAACAACAAGUCUCCCUUUGUUUACAUUGGCUGCGAAAGCCCUCCUUGCGACAGCAGCAGCACCAUCAGAAAAGAGUACUUCUGUGAUGCGGUGGCCUUUUGCGCUUACCAAGGACUGCUCUUGGUCGAGGUUGACACGGCUGUCAAGAUAAACGACGUGACGAAUAUCAUCAAGAACUCGUAUCCAGACUUGUCUGAAUUCUGGGUGAACAUACGAAGAAUCAACGGAAGUUGGGUCCACGUUCCUAGCAACACACCGGUGAUCGAGUAUGAUUGGGCGACAUCUCCUGUAGACAACGAAUGCGUGUACGGGGUUGUACAUACUGGACUGAAAACUGCGCCAUGCGACGGGGAAAAAUGCCGUUAUUUGCGUCGAUCCUACGAAAUCUCUGCCAGUUUGUUAGCACAUUGAGUGUAGCACGACCCACCAGCGCUGCCAGAUGGCUCCGGUUCCGCUGCAAAAAUUAAAUUUUCAUUUCUUCCGUACUUUUUGAAAAUUUAUUGAGGUAAUCCUGCCCAUGGUUCCUGCCAUCAUAAAUUUUAGUCGGCAGACGCAAUUGAAUAAACUAUAUCGCGGAAUGUGUCCGGAAAAAGACCCUGCAGCCCACUGGUGUGUCAUGCCGCACUCAACGUGCUAAGACAACUUCUGCAUAGAUUUGUCCCAUGAAAGGCCCUGAUGGAAUUUCUGCAGA